rnacentral:rRNA from 1 species
UUCUGUGUAUCGACUAAAUAUACCCAUUCUGAGUACCUUGCCUGUUGCUUCCAUGGAGCCUGACACAUGUCACUCUGGGGAUUUACAUCCCGAGGGAGCCUCCGUGGAAGGUAAUCAAUUAACUCUUGAAUCCMAUGUCAUCUGUCUGAUAAUGUUUAUAACAAAUGUUAAAACUUUCAACAACGGAUCUCUUGGUUCUCGCAUCGAUGAAGAACGCAGCGAAAUGCGAUAAGUAGUGUGAAUUGCAGAAUUCAGUGAAUCAUCGAAUCUUUGAACGCACAUUGCGCCUCCUGGUAUUCCGGGAGGCAUGCCUGUUCGAGCGUCAUUAAAUACCACUCAAGCUCUUCUGCUUGGUCAUGGAAGAAGAGAAUGCUUGCAUCCUCUCUUCUGAAAUCGAACGGCGGACUGCCUCAUGUGCCUCGCGUAGUAAGUUCAUCUUUUCGCUUGGAGUGUGAGAUAGUCUCGCCAUCAACCCCCAUACUUCWAAGGUUGACCUCGGAUCAGGUAGGGAUACCCGCUGAACUUAAGCAUAUCAAUAAG